rnacentral:rRNA from 1 species
GGGGAAUAUUGCACAAUGGGGGAAACCCUGAUGCAGCGACGCCGCGUGAGUGAAGAAGUAUUUCGGUAUGUAAAGCUCUAUCAGCAGGGAAGAAAUACUGACCUUACGGUCAGCAGACGGUACCUGACUAAGAAGCCCCGGCUAACUAC